ACAUUUUCUUACAAACCAUCAAUUUCACCUCACCCACCAAAAUCAACUUGCAUAUUGCACAUGCAUGCACUAAAAUUUUUUCACACUUUUCACACUCUAAAAUGGCCGGCCACCCCCUAGUGGGGGUACUUUUGGGGCCUUUUGUGCAAUUACAUAAAGUUUUGAUACUUUUGUGUAUUUGCACUUUGGCCCAAAAGUUUACGUUUUUACGUUAAGGCCCUAAAAACUCUAAAGGACAAAUUGUUUUGAUCCUUUAAUGAUGUUUUUACAUUAAUUAAAAUUUUGGGAUCUAGUUGUAAUUACAUGAAGUUGUGGACUAUUGUGUUUUUACAAAGUGACCCCAAAAGUUUUUUGUAUUUGCAUUAUGGCCCAAUUGUUGUGGUCAUAGUUUCCUUUUGGCCCAAAUAAAAUGAGAACAAAAAUUGUUUUGUCUCUUUAAUGAGAAUUGGAUUUUCAUUUCUAUUUAGUUCCAUUUAAAUCAAUUCUAUGGAUCCAAAAAACCAAUUGUUUAAAGUUGUUUUCUUAGUUAAUGUGAUUGAUUAAGAAAAGGGUGAUUAUGAACCAAAAGGCCCACGAUAAUUGAGCUAUGUGAUUGGCCGAUAUACAUUAUGAAUGUUUGGGUUUUAGUAGAGUAGAUUUGAAUGUAAUUUGAUUAAUUCAAUUUGUUGUAAAUGGACAUAAGUCCAUCAUUUGAUUUGUGUUGU
rnacentral:lncRNA from 1 species